GAUGAAGAACGUAGUGAAAUGCGAUAAGUAGUGUGAAUUGCAGAAUUCAGUGAAUCAUCGAAUCUUUGAACGCACAUUGCGCCCCUUGGUAUUCCAUGGGGCAUGCCUGUUCGAGCGUCAUUUGUACCUUCAAGCUCUGCUUGGUGUUGGGUGAUUGUCUAUCUUUAUAGACUCGCCUUAAAGUCAUUGGCAGCCGGCAUAUUGGCCUGGGAGCGCAGCACAAGUCGCGCUUCUUGUCAUGAAUGUUGGCGUCCAGUAAGUCUACAUAUUUUGCUCUUGACCUCGGAUCAGGUAGGGAUACCCGCUGAACUUAAGCAUAUCAAUAAGCGAGGA
rnacentral:misc_RNA from 1 species